UACGUAGGGGGCAAGCGUUGUCCGGAAUCAUUGGGCGUAAAGCGCGCGUAGGCGGCCCGGUAAGUCCGUUGUGAAAGUCGAAGGCUCAACCUUCGAAAGCCGAUGGAUACUGCCGGGCUAGAGUUCGGAAGAGGCGAGUGGAAUUCCUGGUGUAGCGGUGGAAUGCGCAGAUAUCAGGAGGAACACCGGUGGCGAAGGCGGGUCUCUGGACAGUUCCUGACACUGAGGCACGAAGGCCAGGGGAGCAAACGGGG
rnacentral:rRNA from 1 species